GACGAACGCUGGCGGCGUGCCUAAUACAUGCAAGUAGGACGCAGUUGCGAACGGGUGAGUAACGCGUAGGUAACUACCUAUUAGAGGGGGCUAACUAUUGGAAACGAUAGCUAAUACCGCAUACUAGUAGAUGGACCUGCGUUGUAUUAGCUAGUAGGUAGGGUAAUGGCCUACCUAGGCAACGAUACAUAACCGACCCGGUAGGGUGAUCGGACAACCGUGGACCGGGACACGGCCCAGACUGCUACGGGAGGCAGCAGUAGGGAAACUUCGGAAAUGGGGGGAACCCUGAACGAGCAAAGCCGCGUGAGUGAAGAAGGUUUUCGGAUCGUAAAGCUCUGUUGUUAAGGAAGCGGUACUUAACCAGAAAGGGACGGCUAACUACGUGCCAGCAGCCGCGGUAAUUC
rnacentral:rRNA from 1 species